AUCUCUGUAGAGUCUGCAUAUCAAUAAGCGGAGGAAAAGAAACUAACAAGGAUUCCCUUAGUAACGGCGAGUGAAGCGGGUAGAGCUCAAAUUUGAAAUCUUCAAGGUUUUACCUUGACGAAUUGUAGUUUAAAGAAGUGUUUUCUGUUGAAGUUUUGGUAAAAGUUCUUUGGAAUAGGACAUCAUAGAGGGUGAGAAUCCCGUAUUUGACCAUUAUUUUCAGCUGUGUGAUACACUUUCAAAGAGUCGGAUUGUUUGGGAAUGCAGUCCAAAAUGGGUGGUAAAUUUCAUCUAAAGCUAAAUAUUGGCGAGAGACCGAUAGCGAACAAGUACCGUGAGGGAAAGAUGAAAAGAACUUUGAAAAGAGAGUUAAACAGUACGUGAAAUUGUCAAAAGGGAAGCGUUUGACACCAGUGUUGUUUUCUCGAAAAUCAAUUAAAAAGAGUUUGAUUUUGUUGUGUAUUGACCUUAACAGCUUGCAUUUCAAUUUUCUUGCUUUUUUUAAUGCACUUUUCGUUUAACAAGUCAACAUCAGUUUCUUUUGUUGUAAAAAGGUCAUUGGAAGGUGGCUUUCUUUUCGGAGAAAGCGUUUAUAGCCUUUGACUCCUGCAAUCGGAGAGACUGAGGUCUGCAGCGUAGAUCCUUCGGGGUUAGAUACAUUUGUGCUAAGUUAUAGCUUUUUAUAGACGACUUGUUGACUAUGAUUAGUCUUGUAGCUUACUCGCUUAUGCUAUUUUACCUACGCUUAGGAUGUUGAAGAUAUGCGCGACACG
rnacentral:rRNA from 1 species